AGUUGCCAAAAUAGGACUGGUGGAAAAUUUGUCCCUUCCAACUCUACAAUUCGGCCUGAGGCAACAGAAUGACCAGGGAAGAGGCAAGUUGGAAUAACGACGACAGACCACGCAUCAGUCUAACACAAAGCAAAAUCUAAAAAGAAAUCAAAAUGCAAGCAACCCCACGAAAAUGACAGGAAAGUUCUCUGCUUAUUUGAAGGGUUUGGCGAGAAAGAGCCAGCGCACCGGAGAGGAGGAUGAAUGCCCAGUGCGGAAUCCUCUGUCUGCCUUAUAAACCAAUUUAUGACAUGAUUUUUCACCUAUCAAUACAAUCAGUAUCAGCAGGCAGCAGACUUACCCCUUUGGGAAAGGUUCCUGAAUCUAUCACUUAGACUCUCCAUAUUGCUUCCAAGAAACUGCGCAUUUGGAAGGCAAAGACGCCUGAGGGCCAUAUCCUGCUA